GAAAAUGAGCUGGGGGACAUUUCUACCGUAAAAUCCACCGCCAUGUUGGAUGUUGCCGCCGAACGAAUUAGCAGUCUUUUUACGAGAUUGGAGGACGUCAAUCUCAAUUUGGAAUCGAUGGAUACUUCAGAGACCGCUGAGGGAUCGAAAAUCGAGUCAAGGUGUCAAAGAAUACUAACUGACAUUCGUGAACGUCGUGAGGCGCUGAAGCAUCAUUGUAACUCAUCGGCGAGUGACUCCGGAUCGACGCAAGAGCACCAGCAUAAACCGAAUCUUCCCAAGAUAUCGUUGCCCAAGUUCAGUGGAAGUUAUGGAGACUGGCUGUCGUUCAAGGAUUUAUACGUCACUAUGGUACACGGAAAUGAAGAUUUAAGUCCCGUGCAGAAGUUCUAUUACUUGAAGUCGUGUUUGGUCGGCGAAGCUGCCUCUUUGGUUACGACUUUGGAAUGUACGAACGAAAACUACGUGAAGGCAUGGUCUGCGAUUACAUCAAGAUAUGACAAUAAGCAGCGCUGCCAAGCAUUAGAUAUGCUAUGCCGUGAUGAAGCAGUGAGCACUACAAAGGUCGUGCCUCCGGCAAAGAGCACUAGUCAUGUGACUGUUGGCAGCGGCAGAAGUGCAAAUGGUAAGUUAUUUUCUUGUUUGUAUUGCAACAAAAAUCACUCAACUUACAAGUGUUUUAAAUUCAUUAAAUUGAGUCCCAAUGACAGACAGACAUUUGUUAACAAAACUAAUUUGUGUGUUGUUUGUUUAUCAGAUAAACAUUGUACUAGCAAUUGCACAUCCAAUAUUGUCUGUAAAAAGUGUUUACAAAAGCAUCAUCACUUAUUACAUCUUGAUUCGCAGACAUGUAAUGAGACUUCUGCCCGUAGCUCUACUUCAAAUGAUUCUCACAUCAAUUCCCCGAGUAAUGUUGUAAUGACAUCUUCAAUAGUUACACAAAAUAGUACCUCUGUAUGUCAAGUGUCCCUUCUGCCCACUGCAUUAGUGAAUGUGUGUGACAGUGAUGGUAAGCGAUAUGACUGCACUGUGCUUUUGGACAUAGGUAGCCAAAAGAAUUAUAUUAGUUCUGCGUUUGCUAAUAAAUUGGACUGUGUUAAUUUUGAAGAUGCUAGUCAAACUGUGGCCGGGGUGGGAGGUCAUACUUGUAAAAUAAAGCAUAAAGUUGCACUAUCAGUUUAUUCUAACUGUUCUGAUUUUAAAUAUUGUUCAGAAUUCGGUGUGUUAGAUUUUAUUACUGAUCCUUUACCAAUGGUCAAUGUGUCUAAAGAGGCACUGCCGUCUCUCAUGCAUUUGCAUUUAGCUGACCCUAAUUUCAAUGUGUCUAAGGACAUUGAUAUGAUUCUUGGUGUUUCAUGUUUUGCAAAAUGUCUUCGAGAAGGCAAGAUCGAUCUAGGUCCAAAUAUGCCCACAUUAAUAAAUACUGAAUUUGGUUGGGUAUUUUGUGGUGAAUUGUCUGUGGUAGGUCAACAUGUUUCGGGUUUAAAAAGCCAAUGUCAUUUGUCUGUCCUACAUAACGACAUUAAAAAAUUUUGGCAAUUAGAAGAAAUGCCUAAUGAUAAUAUGUUGUCAUUUCAGGAGAAAAGGUGCGAACAGAGCUACCUUGAUUCUGUGUCCAGGGAUGAAGAAGGAAGGUAUCAUGUCGAUUUGCCAAUAAACAAAGAACUUCUACCAAAACUAGGCAAAUUCGAGUGAAACCUCAGUAUCAAGCACUUCAGCGCAUCCUGUGGAGAGAUGAUCCAUCGCAUGAUAUACAGUGUCUUCAGCUGGAUACUGUUACAUAUGGAACAGCAUCAGCCAGUUACCUUGCUACACGGACAUUGGUGAAAUUGGUUGAGGAUGAAGGUGAUAAUUUUCCAUCUGCUUCUAAGGCAUUACUUCAAAGUACCUUCGUUGAUGACAUUUUGCAUGGCGAGAAUGAUCUUUCUUCUGCAUUAAAUACCAUAAAUGAGUUGCAAGAGUUGUUAGCUAAAGGAAGGUUUGAAUUGCACAAAUGGUACUCUAAUAGCUCAAUGUUAAUGUCGCAAUU